rnacentral:rRNA from 1 species
UACGAAGGGGGCUAGCGUUGUUCGGAAUUACUGGGCGUAAAGCGCACGUAGGCGGGUCGUUAAGUCAGGGGUGAAAUCCCAGAGCUCAACUCUGGAACUGCCUUUGAUACUGGCGACCUAGAGUUCGGAAGAGGUUAGUGGAAUUCCCAGUGUAGAGGUGAAAUUCGUAGAUAUUGGGAAGAGCACCAGUGGCGAAGGCGGCUAACUGGUCCGAUACUGACGCUGAGGUGCGAAAGCGUGGGGAGCAAACAGG